rnacentral:rRNA from 1 species
GGGUUGUGAGGUUAAGCGACUAAGCGUACACGGUGGAUGCCCUGGCAGUCAGAGGCGAUGAAGGACGUGCUAAUCUGCGAUAAGCGUCGGUAAGGUGAUAUGAACCGUUAUAACCGGCGAUUUCCGAAUGGGGAAACCCAGUGUGUUUCGACACACUAUCAUUAACUGAAUCCAUAGGUUAAUGAGGCGAACCGGGGGAACUGAAACAUCUAAGUACCCCGAGGAAAAGAAAUCAACCGAGAUUCCCCCAGUAGCGGCGAGCGAACGGGGAGGAGCCCAGAGCCUGAAUCAGUGUGUGUGUUAGUGGAAGCGUCUGGAAAGGCGCGCGAUACAGGGUGACAGCCCCGUACACAAAAAUGCACAUGCUGUGAGCUCGAUGAGUAGGGCGGGACACGUGGUAUCCUGUCUGAAUAUGGGGGGACCAUCCUCCAAGGCUAAAUACUCCUGACUGACCGAUAGUGAACCAGUACCGUGAGGGAAAGGCGAAAAGAACCCCGGCGAGGGGAGUGAAAAAGAACCUGAAACCGUGUACGUACAAGCAGUGGGAGCAUGCUUAGGCGUGUGACUGCGUACCUUUUGUAUAAUGGGUCAGCGACUUAUAUUCUGUAGCAAGGUUAACCGAAUAGGGGAGCCGAAGGGAAACCGAGUCUUAACUGGGCGUUAAGUUGCAGGGUAUAGACCCGAAACCCGGUGAUCUAGCCAUGGGCAGGUUGAAGGUUGGGUAACACUAACUGGAGGACCGAACCGACUAAUGUUGAAAAAUUAGCGGAUGACUUGUGGCUGGGGGUGAAAGGCCAAUCAAACCGGGAGAUAGCUGGUUCUCCCCGAAAGCUAUUUAGGUAGCGCCUCGUGAACUCAUCUCCGGGGGUAGAGCACUGUUUCGGCAAGGGGGUCAUCCCGACUUACCAACCCGAUGCAAACUGCGAAUACCGGAGAAUGUUAUCACGGGAGACACACGGCGGGUGCUAACGUCCGUCGUGAAGAGGGAAACAACCCAGACCGCCAGCUAAGGUCCCAAAGUCAUGGUUAAGUGGGAAACGAUGUGGGAAGGCCCAGACAGCCAGGAUGUUGGCUUAGAAGCAGCCAUCAUUUAAAGAAAGCGUAAUAGCUCACUGGUCGAGUCGGCCUGCGCGGAAGAUGUAACGGGGCUAAACCAUGCACCGAAGCUGCGGCAGCGACGCUUAUGCGUUGUUGGGUAGGGGAGCGUUCUGUAAGCCUGUGAAGGUGUACUGUGAGGUAUGCUGGAGGUAUCAGAAGUGCGAAUGCUGACAUAAGUAACGAUAAAGCGGGUGAAAAGCCCGCUCGCCGGAAGACCAAGGGUUCCUGUCCAACGUUAAUCGGGGCAGGGUGAGUCGACCCCUAAGGCGAGGCCGAAAGGCGUAGUCGAUGGGAAACAGGUUAAUAUUCCUGUACUUGGUGUUACUGCGAAGGGGGGACGGAGAAGGCUAUGUUGGCCGGGCGACGGUUGUCCCGGUUUAAGCGUGUAGGCUGGUUUUCCAGGCAAAUCCGGAAAAUCAAGGCUGAGGCGUAAUGACGAGGCACUACGGUGCUGAAGCAACAAAUGCCCUGCUUCCAGGAAAAGCCUCUAAGCAUCAGGUAACAUCAAAUCGUACCCCAAACCGACACAGGUGGUCAGGUAGAGAAUACCAAGGCGCUUGAGAGAACUCGGGUGAAGGAACUAGGCAAAAUGGUGCCGUAACUUCGGGAGAAGGCACGCUGAUAUGUAGGUGAAGCGACUUGCUCGUGGAGCUGAAAUCAGUCGAAGAUACCAGCUGGCUGCAACUGUUUAUUAAAAACACAGCACUGUGCAAACACGAAAGUGGACGUAUACGGUGUGACGCCUGCCCGGUGCCGGAAGGUUAAUUGAUGGGGUUAGCGCAAGCGAAGCUCUUGAUCGAAGCCCCGGUAAACGGCGGCCGUAACUAUAACGGUCCUAAGGUAGCGAAAUUCCUUGUCGGGUAAGUUCCGACCUGCACGAAUGGCGUAAUGAUGGCCAGGCUGUCUCCACCCGAGACUCAGUGAAAUUGAACUCGCUGUGAAGAUGCAGUGUACCCGCGGCAAGACGGAAAGACCCCGUGAACCUUUACUAUAGCUUGACACUGAACAUUGAGCCUUGAUGUGUAGGAUAGGUGGGAGGCUU